rnacentral:rRNA from 1 species
UGCAUGUUGUGUGGGACAAUUAGCUGGAACAAAGUUUUGGUGUAGUCCGCGCCAAGGAGCUACCUUGUUUGGAUAGAGUAGUGCGUGACAAGUACAUUGCAGUCCGUGACACGAUCCUGGUACAUUAACUUGCAUGACUCUUGGCAAUGGAUAUCUUGGCUCUUGCGUCGAUGAAGAACGUAGUGAAAUAUGU